UACGUAGGGGACAAGCGUUGUCCGGAAUCAUUGGGCGUAAAGAGCGUGUAGGCGGCCAGAUAAGUCCGCUGUGAAAACUCGAGGCUCAACUUCGAGCUGUCGGUGGAAACUAUUUGGCUAGAGUCCGGAAGAGGAGAGUGGAAUUCCUGGUGUAGCGGUGAAAUGCGCAGAUAUCAGGAAGAACACCCGUGGCGAAGGCGGCUCUCUGGUACGGAACUGACGCUGAGACGCGAAAGCGUGGGGAGCGAACAGG
rnacentral:rRNA from 1 species